GACGAACGCUGGCGGCGUGCUUAACACAUGCAAGUCGAACGGUGAAGCGCCUUCCUUUUUGGUGGGUGUGGAUGAGUGGCGAACGGGUGAGUAACACGUGAGUAACCUGCCCCCUUCUUCUGGAUAACCGCAUGAAAGUGUGGCUAAUACGGGGUAUUCUGGGUCUGUCGCAUGAUGGGUCUGGGAAAGAUAUUGUUUCGGUGGGGGAUGGGCUCGCGGCCUAUCAGCUUGUUGGUGGGGUGAUGGCCUACCAAGGCGGUGACGGGUAGCCGGCCUGAGAGGGUGGACGGUCACACUGGGACUGAGACACGGCCCAGACUCCUACGGGAGGCAGCAGUGGGGAAUAUUGCACAAUGGGCGCAAGCCUGAUGCAGCGACACCGCGUGAGGGAUGGAGGCCUUCGGGUUGUGAACCUCUUUCGCCAGUGAAGCAGGCCUGCCUCGUUUGUGGGUGGGUUGACGGUAGCUGGAUAAGAAGCGCCGGCUAACUACGUG
rnacentral:rRNA from 1 species